rnacentral:lncRNA from 1 species
GCUGAUUUUUGGAGCUGGUGGACAAAAAAAAAUCUAGAUGGUGACGCCAGCAUCCAAAACAUGUGGGGCUUGAAAUGGCGAAAAUCUCUUUCGGACUCAACCCAGAGAUGGAACAUACGUCCACCUUUUAUCUGGUUCGGUGACUUUGGAUGACACUGACAGAUAUGUGUGUUGCAGGACCACGCAGCUUCGUUGAUUGUGACAUCUCCUGACAAGAAUCUGCCCAUCCGGUGGAAUAUCCAGCUCCUUCCAGCUCUUUAUUGGUAAAGAUCCUCCCUUGCCACAUUCAAGUGACCAUUGUGUCAACCUUAAGCAGUUCUAUUUGUUAUUCUGUGUUGGAUUGCCUUUUCUGCAUUCACGACAAAACAUUUAGAAAUGGC